rnacentral:rRNA from 1 species
UACGUAGGGCGCAAGCGUUGUCCGGAAUUAUUGGGCGUAAAGAGCUCGUAGGCGGCUUGUCACGUCGGGUGUGAAAGCCCGGGGCUUAACCCCGGGUCUGCAUUCGAUACGGGCAGGCUAGAGUGUGGUAGGGGAGAUCGGAAUUCCUGGUGUAGCGGUGAAAUGCGCAGAUAUCAGGAGGAACACCGGUGGCGAAGGCGGAUCUCUGGGCCAUUACUGACGCUGAGGCGCGAAAGCCAGGGGAGCAAACGGG